CAACUGUCAAAUCUGAGAAUGGGGAAGACGAGAUGAGUCCAGCUCCAGCCAGCAUCUGGAUAUAACAACAUGACAGACCCGGUGUUAUUACAACCAAGAUGAAUCCCAGUCAAACUCAAGAAGCAUGAGAAAGACUACUGACUGCUGUCAUUGUUUUUAGUUCAACAACUUGGGAGAGGUUAACAAAAGUCUCUGAGAUGCAACUCCAAAUCUUCAAAAGAGAAAUACCAAAGUGUUCGUAUUUUGGCUUACUUUCAUGCCAUAAAUAAAUUCAUUACUAGACACCACUCCUGACACACGAAUGCAC